rnacentral:rRNA from 1 species
UACGUAGGGGGCAAGCGUUGUCCGGAUUUAUUGGGCGUAAAGAGCGUGUAGGCGGUUAGGUAGGUCCGUUGUGAAAACCCGAGGCUCAACCUCGGGACGUCGGCGGAAACCAUUUGGCUAGAGUCCGGAAGAGGAGAGUGGAAUUCCCGGUGUAGCGGUGAAGUGCGCAGAUAUCGGGAAGAACACCCGUGGCGAAGGCGGCUCUCUGGGACGGUACUGACGCUGAGGUGCGAAAGCGUGGGGGAGCAAACAGG